rnacentral:rRNA from 1 species
ACUUAGAUUUCAAAAUCACCUUUGGAAUGCGCCCAAUCUCGACGGAUCUUGGAAGCAAGUAGGGUUUAAGCCUAGUUAUCACUCGGCUGUGAGAUGUUCCUGGGAAUGCUAGGUGUUGUAAGUU